rnacentral:misc_RNA from 1 species
GAGACAAGCAUAUGACUACUGGCAGGAUCAACCAGGUAGCAUUCCUUCGCGACGCCGACGCCCGCAUGAGACCCGGCAGGCCGUACGGCCGCGGGCUCAAGACGGGCACGGCAGUCGUUCGUGUCGUAAGACAAAUGCGUUGCUUGGGCAAACGGAGCUAAUAAAUAGACCCCGCACCCGCACAUAACAUUCUGCAUCCGAGAGCACGGGCAAUGCACCUCAUGGGCCGAGGCAGCCACGCAGCUGGGCGAAGCAUGCCGGGAACACGAGGCUUGCCUGAUGUCCACCCCAAAACCCGUGAGGGCAGGGGGCGGAAAGGGACUAACGAAACCAUCGGAUUCCUUUCGAUAGGUAAGCAACACAGGAUACCGAA